rnacentral:rRNA from 1 species
GAAACGACUCUCGGCAACGGAUAUCUCGGCUCUCGCAUCGAUGAAGAACGUAGCAAAAUGCGAUACCUGGUGUGAAUUGCAGAAUCCCGCGAACCAUCGAGUUUUUGAACGCAAGUUGCGCCCGAGGCCUUCUGGUCGAGGGCACGUCUGCCUGGGCGUCACGCC